rnacentral:rRNA from 1 species
AUGGCGACCGGCGCACGGGUGAGUAACACGUAUCCAACCUGCCUCAUACUCGGGGAUAGCCUUUCGAAAGAAAGAUUAAUAUCCGAUAGGAUAUCAAGGUCGCAUGAUCUUGAUAUUAAAGAAUUUCGGUUAUCGAUGGGGAUGCGUUCCAUUAGUUAGUUGGCGGGGUAACGGCCCACCAAGACGACGAUGGAUAGGGGUUCUGAGAGGAAGGUCCCCCACAUUGGAACUGAGACACGGUCCAAACUCCUACGGAAGGCAGCAG